CUUCUUAUAGCAUAGAAUGAACAAAGAACCAAUUAAAUGAACAGGACAAAGCUCCUUGGGAACUGCUUCCACUCAGCAGAUUCUAUGGUUCUUUUCCACUAGGAGCAGAGGAGGUGGAGGUCUGUUUGAAGUAGCGCCAUGGCAGGGGAGGAAGUGACUCAGUGGCCACACAACAGUAAAACUCCCCUAGAGAGAGGAAUCAUGUUUGAACUUGGCUGCCUAAAGGAGAUCCCUGCGUGAUUCAGGCUCAGAAAGGCAAUGGAGAUUUUACUGGCUGGCUAAAACACUCCAUGGGGCUCCCCCAAAAGUACAGCUGGGGAAUGGGCAUAAGCAACUCUCUCUGAAACACAUGUGGGAACUGGGGCCUCAAGAUAAAGUGGACAUUCCUUGGCAUCAAGGAUGUUAAAAGCAUGGAUGAAAAGGAAUUAAAGGACUCAUUCAAAGAGGAGAGGACAGCUGGGUCAGAAGCAAAGUCCAAAAACAUGUGGCAGGUGAUGGAUGGGAAAACAGAAUAAAAAUCUAUCAAUGGCAGAGAUUCAAAACCAGAGGGCUCAAAACACCAGUUCUUUUUCAGCAGGAAGUGGUAUGGAGCAUCACUGCAGUCCCUUUGAAGACCUGUCUCUGCAGGGAGCUCAGCAGGGCCUUUCAUCAGGAACCCCAAGGUGUCUCUGACUGCCAUGGAGAGAUUUUCUUGGCUUGAGAACUUCCAGAAGUAGAAGAUGAAGAUGAAGAUGAAGAUGAUGAGU
rnacentral:lncRNA from 1 species